rnacentral:ribozyme from 1 species
UGCCUUGCAACUCCUAUCCCUACCUCCUCGUGGCCAGGGUACGAGUAACCUUAUGGAAGAUCUGGUAUCCAACCCCGGUGGGAACUUUCGUCGUAUGCUGACAGGGAAGG